AGAUCUGGCCUUUUGGCUAAGACCAUGCACAGUAUCUGUUCUUAUCAGUUUAAUAUCUGAUAUGUCCUUUAUUUGAGGACUGUAUAUUAAAUUGAUUUUCAGUGUGAGAAAGCCUU
rnacentral:snRNA from 1 species